UCUCCCAGGUCUCAGAAAGUGCAAGAGAGCUGGAAUUGGACACACACCAGUAAGAGAGCUUCCUGAAGAAUAAGUUGCUUUCUCAGGAGUCCCUGAUGACCAACAUCCUGAAUGAAAACAGCACUUGAGAGACAACUCGGGGGACCGCCUUUCAUUAUGUGUGCUAGAGGAGAAACAGCAAUACGUCUGUGCUUCUAAAUGUUCGUUAAGAAUAUGCUUUUAGAAAUAUUUUUGUUAUGAUUUUAAUUGAAGUUUUCUUUUUGUUGUUUCAUAUUUAUAUGUUCUUGUUACUAUUUUUACUUUCAAAUAUUUUUAAAUAUUUUUAUUCAUUUUAAUCCUGUUUUGUUGUAAAAAUGUAUUAGUUAUGAAUAAAAAUUGAAUUCUA